AGCAAGGGAAAAUGAAUCUAAAUCAACUUAAACUCCAACCCCGCUCUGUGACGUCACCACUCAGCAUAUACCUCAUCGGCGUAAAAGGCCAGGGGGAGGUGUACCUCGCUAGUGACGUCACGUCACAAAGGUAUUCAUCCCACCCGGUCCACUGCGCCCUUGAGCGUGACGUCACCUCUUCCUGGGUCACUUCCCUUACCUGUUCAACUAGAAUCCUUGUUUGGGCAAAGCUACUCCCGGUGACUGGCGGCUCAUUAACAUAAUAUAUUCAUGAAAGCCGUCGCGAGUUUAUUGCGACGAGUUCGGCACCCACGCCCACAGAGCCGCUCAUUGUGGGAGGGGAGUGUUUUGUACCCCGCAAGUGGCGUCAUGUCAACUCCUGCUGCUGCGUGACGUCACGAAGUAACAGGAAGCUGCUGCUCCGCCGUGCACUGAAAUCCGAGGCCAGGCCCGCUUGAGCUGCUGUGCUGCUUUUGUUUUUAGAAGCGACCUGCCGACAUCACAAGCUGUCGCUUCCUCUGCAGAAUUUGUCUGAUGGAGCAAAGGCACUCAGCGCAGCUCGGUGCAAAAAGGCAUCAAUGCAACCGGCGUGCAAACAGCACGGAUAGUACUGAACAUUUGACACGGCACCAGAUAACUCACACAGGAGAGAAACCCUUCAAGUGCAGUGUGUGCGGGAAGGCAUUUUCACCGUCAUCUGCUCUUGUAGCACACCAGAGAACACACACGGGAAAUAAACCC